rnacentral:rRNA from 1 species
GACGAACGCUGGCGGCGUGCUUAACACAUGCAAGUCGAACGGAAAGGCCCUGCUUUUGUGGGGUGCUCGAGUGGCGAACGGGUGAGUAACACGUGAGUAACCUGCCCUUGACUUUGGGAUAACUUCAGGAAACUGGGGCUAAUACCGGAUAGGAGCUCCUGCUGCAUUGUGGGGGUUGGAAAGUUUCGGCGGUUGGGGAUGGACUCGCGGCUUAUCAGCUUGUUGGUGGGGUAGUGGCUUACCAAGGCUUUGACGGGUAGCCGGCCUGAGAGGGUGACCGGCCACAUUGGGACUGAGAUACGGCCCAGACUCCUACGGGAGGCAGCAGUGGGGAAUAUUGCACAAUGGGCGGAAGCCUGAUGCAGCAACGCCGCGUGCGGGAUGACGGACUUCGGGUUGUAAACCGCUUUCGCCUGUGACGAAGCGUGAGUGACGGUAAUGGGUAAAGAAGCACCGGCUAACUACGUG